GAGCCUCAAGGGGCUGAGCCCCGACGACAUCGACUCCAGCGCGGAGCAGCUGGACGGGCUGGGGGGGCACCGGCGGGACCCCCGGCGAGCCCCCCUCAUCCACAGCAACGACGACCUGGAGUCCCUCCUCUCCCAGGAUGAGGACGAGGCCGAUGUGCAGCGGGCGCAGGAGGACGCGCGGAGGCUGCCGGCGAGCCGGGCCAGGCAGAGCACGGGUGGCUGCGCCCUCUCCAAAUCCGUGUCACUCGGCGUCAUCGACUGCUUCCCCGACGCGGACGAAAUUUCCCCCUUCUCCUCGCAGCAGAGCUUGGUCAAUGGGUGAGUCAGGGGGGGACAGGGACACGUU